rnacentral:rRNA from 1 species
CUGCGAAUGGCUCAUUAUAUAAGUUAUCGUUUAUUUGAUAGUACCUUACUACUUGGAUAACCGUGGUAAUUCUAGAGCUAAUACAUGCUAAAAAUCCCGACUUCGGAAGGGAUGUAUUUAUUAGAUUAAAAACCAAUGCCCCCUGGGCUCUCUGGUGAUUCAUAAUAACUUCUCGAAUCGCAUGGCCUUGUGCCGGCGAUGGUUCAUUCAAAUUUCUUCCCUAUCAACUUUCGAUGUUUGGGUAGUGGCCAAACAUGGUUGCAACGGGUAACGGAGGGUUAGGGCUCGACCCCGGAGAAGGAGCCUGAGAAACGGCUACUACAUCCAAGGAAGGCAGCAGGCGCGCAAAUUACCCAAUCCCGAUUCGGGGAGGUAGUGACAAUAAAUACCGAUACAGGGCUCUUUUGGGUCUUGUAAUUGGAAUGAGUACAAUUUAAAUCCCUUAACGAGGAACAAUUGGAGGGCAAGUCUGGUGCCAGCAGCCGCGGUAAUUCCAGCUCCAAUAGCGUAUAUUAAAGUUGUUGUGGUUAAAAAGCUCGUAGUUGAACCUUGGGCCUGGCUGGCCGGUCCGCCUCACCGCGUGUACUGGUCCGGCCGGGCCUUUCCCUCUGUGGAACCCCAUGCCCUUCACUGGGCGUGGCGGGGAAACAGGACUUUUACUUUGAAAAAAUUAGAGUGCUCCAGGCAGGCCUAUGCUCGAAUACAUUAGCAUGGAAUAAUGAAAUAGGACGCGCGGUUCUAUUUUGUUGGUUUCUAGGACCGCCGUAAUGAUUAAUAGGGACAGUCGGGGGCAUCAGUAUUCAAUUGUCAGAGGUGAAAUUCUUGGAUUUAUUGAAGACUAACUACUGCGAAAGCAUUUGCCAAGGAUGUUUUCAUUAAUCAGGAACGAAAGUUAGGGGAUCGAAGACGAUCAGAUACCGUCGUAGUCUUAACCAUAAACUAUGCCGACUAGGGAUCGGACGAUGUUAUUUUUUGACUCGUUCGGCACC